UAGCCAUGCGAGUCGAGAGGGGUUAAGCCCUCGGCAUACUGCUCAGUAACACGUGGAUAAUCUGCCCUAAGGUGGGGGAUAACCUCGGGAAACUGAGAAUAAUACCCCAUAGGUCUGGUAUGCUGGAAUGCUUCCAGGCUGAAAGAGUUAUCGCCUUAGGAUGGGUCUGCGGCCUAUCAGGUCGUAGUGAGUGUAACGGACUCACUAGCCGACAACGGGUACGGGCCUUGAGAGAGGUUGCCCGGAGAUGGAUUCUGAGACACGAAUCCAGGCCCUACGGGGCGCAGCAGGCGCGAAAACUUCGCAAUGUGGGAAACCACGACGAGGGUAUUCCAAGUGCUAUCACAAUGUGGUAGCUGUUUCCAUGCCUAAAAAGCAUGGAGAGUAAGGGCUGGGUAAGACAGGUGCCAGCCGCCGCGGUAAUACCUGCAGCUCAAGUGGUGGCCACUAUUAUUGGGCCUAAAACGUUCGUAGCCUGUUUAGUAAAUGCCUGGGUAAAUUGUGUAGCUUAACUAUACGAAUACCGGGUAGACUGCUAAACUUGGGACCGGGAGAGACUAGAGGUACUCCUAGGGUAGAGGUGAAAUUCUGUAAUCCUAGGGGGACCACCAGUGGCGAAGGCGUCUAGUCAGAACGGGUCUGACGGUGAGGAACGAAGCCCUGGGGCGCAAACCGGAUUAGAUACCCGGGUAGUCCAGGGUGUAAACGCUGCUCGCUUGAUGUUAGUCGGGCUCCGAGCCCAACUAGUGUCGGAGAGAAGUUGUUAAGCGAGCUGCCUGGGAAGUACGGUCGCAAGACUGAAACUUAAAGGAAUUGGC
rnacentral:rRNA from 1 species